rnacentral:tRNA from 1 species
GCUGGUGUGGCUCAACGGUAGAGCAGCUGACUUGUAAUCAGCCUGUAAAUCUGUUGUCAUCGACUUCGGUGGUUCGAAUCCACCAUCCUCC